UCCAGCUGUUCUAACACCUCCUGCCUGCCAGUACUGACUCUUUAUGCAUGGGGGCUUCCGGCUUAUCUAUACUUCGAAGACAGUGAACUAGGUAAUAUUAAAGGUUAACCAGAUAUAGGACUCCUCUGUCUUGCUACGAUGGACAGCCACAAGGAUUCACUUGAAUAAAAGAAGCAACAGUGGGUGCCAGGCUGUUUGAAUUCUUAUUCGGGGUCCAGAGAGAUGGGUAAGAGCAUUUGUUGCUCUUGCAGCGGACCUGGGUUUGGUGUCUAACAUCCAUGUGGUGGCUCACAUCCAUCAGUAACUCCAUUCGAGGAGAUCCAAUACCCUCUACUGCCCUCCUCUAGUACCACACAGUGCUGUGGAUUGAAUGGCGGGCCUUGCACAGAAAUGUGCUGUUUUGUUAUACAUUUAUUACAAAGAAUCUCACAAAAAGAAAAUAUUUCAAAAAGAAUGCCAGGCUAAAGAACCUCCACCUGGAGAACUGGGGGAAGGCAGGGCAAUAAUAUCAACGUCAACAUACAGCACCCUCUGGCCAUACUUUAGCAGUUCCAGGAUGGCCAAGACGACAUCGUUGAUGUAACAGAAACCUGAGGCGUCAGACUUCUUUACAUGAUGCAGUCCCCCAGCCUGGCUCGCAGUGAUGUCCCUCUGAUGUGUAUCAAGUUUCACAGCACUUUCCAAAGAGCCACCAAUAGACAACUGACAACUCAGACAGGCCAUCGAUUACCGGGAAGUCCUCACCAACGCGGAAUCUCUGCAUCUGCUUGCUGUAUUUAGACACAUUAUCUGGGCGAAUAGAGCACAAGAGUUUAAUGUAGUCAUCACUGUGGGACUUGGUCAUCUCCUCAGCGUUGGCUCUGUGAGGACGAUAGAUUUCCAUUUUUUGGUAGAGAUGUAGUUGAGCUGCAAAUCACGAGUCAUGUGGAUUCGGUGAGGCUUCAUUGGGUGGCCCUGUCCAUAAGAUAGUUUCCAACAUCCCUGUUAACAGACGUUCCUCUUGCCCUGAGUCUGUGCCAUCUUUCUCACCACCCAGUGCUCCUGCCAGUCUGAUGUUUUAAUAUUUUUAGAUGGUGAUGCUUUGAGUUUAAAUGGCCUUUGACAAAUUCUAUCCUAAUUUCUAAUUAAGACAAGGAAAGAAAACAAAGAUGGAUAAGGACCAUAAAGUAAUGAAUGGACUGGAAACAGAAGUAAACUUAUUCAACAAUAAAA
rnacentral:lncRNA from 1 species